GCCAUAGCCGGGAAAGGAAAGACCGGUGCAAGCGGGACAGUAGCCAUGCAGGCAAAUCCGUGUGGCAAUACGAAGACGUGACGCGGACCGAAAUAAAGUAGGGAAGCAUGUGAGCCAUGUGCCAAGAAAAGCCGCUAUAGAUCAUACCGUACCCGUACCGUAAACCGACACAGGUAGAUGAGGAGAGAAUCCUAAGGCCGACGGGAGAAGCAUUGUUAAGGAACUCGGCAAAAUGACCCCGUAACUUCGGGAGAAGGGGUGCCCACGCGAGUGGGCCGCAGAGAAUAGGCUCAAGCAACUGUUUAGCAAAAACACAGGUCUAUGCGAAACCGAAAGGUGAGGUAUAUGGGCUGACGCCUGCCCGGUGCUGGAAGGUUAAGAGGAGGAGUCAGGCAACGAAGCUCCGAAUUUAAGCCCCAGUAAACGGCGGCCGUAACAAUAACGGUCCUAAGGUAGCGAAAUUCCUUGUCGGGUAAGUUCCGACCCGCACGAAAGGCGUAAUGAUUUGAGCACUGUCUCGACAAUGCACCCGGUGAAAUUGAAGUACCAGUGAAGAUGCUGGUUACCUGCGCCAAGACGGAAAGACCCCAUGGAGCUUUACUCCAGUUUGAUACUGGGAUUCGAUACUGAAUGUACAGGAUAGGUGGGAGGCUGAGAAGCGUGGACGCCAGUCUGCGGUGAGCCGCUGUUGGGAUACCACCCUUUGAGUAUUGGAUUUCUAACCUGCGCCCGUGACCCGGGCGGGGGACAAUGUCUGACGGGGAGUUUGACUGGGGCGGUCGCCUCCGAAAGGGUAUCGGAGGCGCUCAAAGGUUCCCUCAGAAUGGUUGGAAACCAUUCGCAGAGUGCAAAGGCAGAAGGGAGCUUGACUGUGACACCGACGGGUGGAGCAGGUACGAAAGUAGGACUUAGUGAUCCGGUGGUAUGAAAGUGGGAUUGCCAUCGCUCAACGGAUAAAAGCUACCCUGGGAUAACAGGCUUAUCACUCCCAAGAGUUCACAUCGACGGAGUGGUUUGGCACCUCGAUGUCGGCUCAUCGCAUCCUGGGGCUGUAGCAGGUCCCAAGGGUUGGGCUGUUCGCCCAUUAAAGCGGUACGCGAGCUGGGUUCAGAACGUCGUGAGACAGUUCGGUCCCUAUCCGGCGCAGGCGUAGGAUAUUUGAGAGGAGCUGUCCUUAGUACGAGAGGACCGGGAUGGACAGACCGCUGGUGUAUCUGUUGGUGACCAACACCAUGGCAGAGUAGCCAAGUCUGGCAGGGAUAAACGCUGAAGGCAUCUAAGCGUGAAGCCCCCCUCAAGAUGAGAUAUCCCAAUAAGUAAGACCCCUUAGAGAGUAUGAGGUAGAUAGGCUUAAGGUGUAAGCAUAGUAAUAUGUUCAGCUGAUAAGUACUAAUAGGUCGAGGGCUUAUCAA
rnacentral:rRNA from 1 species